rnacentral:rRNA from 1 species
CCUACGGGUGGCAGCAGUGGGGAAUCUUGCGCAAUGGGCGAAAGCCUGACGCAGCGACGCCGCGUGAGUGAUGAAGGCCUUCGGGUUGUAAAGCUCUGUGGAGAGGGACGAAUAAGUGUUGGCUAACAUCCAGCAUGAUGACGGUACCUCUUUAGCAAGCACCGGCUAACUCUGUGCCAGCAGCCGCGGUAAGACAGAGGGUGCAAACGUUGUUCGGAAUUACUGGGCGUAAAGCGCGUGUAGGCGGCUUGGCAAGUCGGGUGUGAAAGCCCCGGGCUCAACCUGGGAAGUGCACUCGAAACUGCUUGGCUGGAGUGUCGGAGAGGGAAGCGGAAUUCUCGGUGUAGAGGUGAAAUUCGUAGAUAUCGAGAGGAACACCGGUGGCGAAGGCGGCUUCCUGGACGACGACUGACGCUGAGACGCGAAAGCGUGGGGAGCAA